AUGUAUUUUCUCUCCAAUCCUCUCCCUCUCUUUCACCCCCUUCCUCUCUCCGCAUCUCUCUAUCUCUUUCCCUCUCUCUACCGCCCCCCACCCCCCUCUCUCUCCCUCUCCAUCCUCUCUCUCUCCUCUCCUCAGUCUCCAAGGUCAGGCGAAGGUUGUGGGGAGGUCGGGGGCCGGGGCCCCCAGGGUAGUGGCCCUGUCUCUGACGGCUCAUCUGCCUCAAAGACUAGAACCGCCAGGCCCCAGGUCAGGAGACAAUCAGGGAGUGUUUCCACAGCCACCUCCAAAACCCCUCUGUGAAGAGGAGUGAAGUGCCUGUGUGCAGUGUCCAUCCUGGUGGUCUGUGGCCUGGGCUGGGCUCUCUCCCCUGGUCCCCCUGUUCCCCUGGUGCAUGGCUCUGUCCAGACUGCUCUCCAGCUUCCUCCUCUUCCUCCUGGCUGCUGUAACGCUGACCCCUGACCUUUGACCCCCGCCGUCCUUUGCUCCUCUAAUCCUGUCCCAGACUGGAACUGAGCUACCUCACUGCUCUGCCAACCACCAUGCAAACCCCACGUCCAUUUCUCACCACACACACACACGCACGCACGCACGCACACACACACACACACACACACACACUUAUUCCGCCAGUUUGCAUGGCAUUUCUCACUAUCUCAUCCGGUACUGUACAACCAGCUGCAGAUGUUAUAAGCCCAGGGCACAAGUUUUCCUUGUUUGCUGCAUCAGAACAAAGUAGGGUCAAAUUUGAAGAGGACACAUGGGGUGGAGGAAUCCUAUGAGAACAGCACUGCUGAGAGUUCCACAGAGUUCUGAGACUUCCAGCCCCAUGACAACGUGUGUUAAGAAAGAGAGAGAAGAGAGUGAUUGUGUUGUCACUCAACUGAUGAAGGAAAUGGAAGUUGGACCGAUGUCAUAAUGAAAGGCAAAAGCAAGUAGAUCUAUCUAUGCAACACGGCCCAGGUUGGAAACAGCUGAACAGUGUUGUGUAGUAUAAGAUUGAUGACGACUGUUGACUUAAAUUCAGUAUCUAUCUACCAUUUCCUUUUUUUUUUAUUCCUAAGACAUAGAGGAACGGUACGAGGGAAGGUUUUAAACGUAAAAAAAUGUGUGCCUUGCUAUUGUUGUUUCUUAUACCUUUUGUUAAAACACUGCUUACCCAGUUAGGUGUUCAAAAGAUGAGAGAAAGAAAAAAAGGACAACCGGCAAGGUUGAAACAGGCAUCUGUUUCUAUGUAUACGAUCUCCGACCUUGACGUAUAAUGAUGGUGUACAUGCUUUGUGUUUAGUGUAAAACUGUACGCGUUCUGUGAUGUGGAAUAUUAUGGGCCUUAAAGUGCUAGACUGCAUGGUUAAUAAAUAUACAAACAUGUUGAGAAAUAAACGUUAUUCAUUGGAAACCAUUGGAUUUACAUGCCUGUUCUGUAUGUGAUUCACCUUAAACAUGUACAAGCAUCUUUCAACGUUGAUCAUUUCUCCUCUUCACACUAUAAACGCAAAAGUGGAACAUUAAAUGAGAAAUAAGGAAGAUGUGUCUGGGUCUAGGCCAUCAUUGGGGAUUCGAGGAGUUAGUACUUCGAAAAGCAGGUGAUUGACAAGACUGAUUGAGGUUAUAUGAAAACAUGUUUAGGGAUGUCAUUGAAUGUUAACUACAAAGAAAACUACAUGAAGUGUUGCCAGCAUCCUAAAUGGAACCCUAUUCCCUAUAUAGUGCACUAUAUUUGACCAGAGCCCUAUGGGGCCUGGUCAAAAGUAGUGUACUAUAGGGAAUAUGGACACACUGUAUGUUAGCAAGCGUAUAGGCAUUACAUUGACCAUGGUGCGAGGGUGGCCUGCCACGCAGACACAGACAUUAGCAUAAGUAAUUGGUUGUUUACAGGAGGUGUUGAUGAUCCUGAAGACGAUAGGACAGGUGACAUUUUCCUCUGGGCCCAUCAGCCAAUCAGCUGCGGAGGUACAACCCCGACGAGGUUACACACACACGCACACACACACACACACACACACACACUGCUCAACAACCAAUCAACUUUUCCCUGAUUGCUUAUACUAGCCUUGAUGACAAACCCUUUGCUGUAAUCGUCUAUUUGGUCUCAUGGAAGAUGCUAGUUUGUUGAUGAGUGUGUUCUUACAUCAGAUCAUAUCAGACAGAAAAAGGGAACAGUAUUCAUUGUUUAUAAAAAUGACUAUGUAUGUGAAUAUUACGUAAAACAGCCGUUUCCUCGGCCAUCAGUUGCCAUGUUACAGGCUCUUGAUCUAGCAAAGUGCAGAAUACAGAAUAAAAACACUACAUGUUUUAUCACAUUAUGAGGUAUUUGAUUACGGUGGCUUGUACUUCUAUCUUAUUAAUGGGAUAGUUGCCAAACAGUUUUUUAUUCUCAUUGUUGCUGAAGGGUUUAGACUUGACUGAUAGGAUUAAUAAAUUAGAAUGGAAAUGCAUUCCUACACUGUCCUCAAGGAAACAUCAUGUGGCAGAAAAAAAGAAAAGAAAUGUGCCUUUUUGCAAUUAUCAAGAUAUUUUUGUAAGAAAUGGAAAUAACUUUAAAGGGAAUAAAGGUCAUGUGUAUCGAACCAUUGUGGCUUUGCAAUUACCACCAGUCAAAAUGUUGAUUUGGGGUCUUUGCUUUAGCAUGGAUGGCAAAAUGAAUAAGAUGGCUGGCUACUCUUUGUUGAAAAGAUCACACAUGAUUACGCCACAUCAAAAAGACAAGAAGGGAAAUAAUUUUUCUGUGUAGAAAGUUAGGAAAGGGAGGGAUGAAAGAGUCCUGUUAUUUAAAUGUCACAAACUUGGGGGAAUAUUCCGGGGCGUGGUUGUACUGUGCGUCAACUUUUUUCUCGAAUGAACUUAGGAUAGUAAUGAGUCAAGGCAAAGGUUUUACACUGCAGUCUGAUGUAAAACAUUCAAGUGUUUUAGUAGCAUUCCAUAAGUAUCCGUCAUCGCUGAUGGCCUUGUGUGCUUUUGAAAGCUUUCACAGUCUUCCAUUCAUUUCCAGAGAUGGAUAGAAUCAUUUCCUCAUCAUCAAAAUGCCAAUGUACUUUAAUCUGGAAAAGGAAAAGAAAAUGGGGGUACGAAUUGAAAACAGAUUCGCUUAAGCCUGUGUGCUGCAUUAUAGACGUAUGCAUAGCGAGGCUAUUAGAGACUCCCACGUUGUUCACUAUGACAAUCAAUGUGAGCGAUGACAAGCCUAGACAUUGGCACACACACACAAAAUAACAAAAUGUGCCAUGUGAAAGUCAUAUGCUGAACAAAAAGUUUAACAAUUGGAAAAGGGCUGUGUAAAGAAUGUUAAAGUGGGCAAAACAAAAGACAACCAGGUGUGAGUUGAUCAUUGUGGUAUGCAGUGGCAGACAUCAGCUGUGUGUGUGUGUGUGUGUGUGUGUGUGUGUGUGUGUGUGUGUGUGUGUGUGUGUGUGUGUGUGUGUGUGUGUGUGUGUGUGUGUGUGUGUGUGUGUGUGUGUGUGUGUGUGUGUGGGCGAUGACAGGGGUGCUGGCCCCAUCAGUGGACCAGGGAUUGUGCUGAGUGUGUUCAUGUAAUUUGAGAGGUUUAGGUGAUUGCAUUUCAGACAUGUCAUCAAACCGCAUUAAGAAACAAUUUGAUAUGGAAUCACAUAGGAGUCUGAAAGGGCAGUGCAGGAGCUUAUAAUCGAGGAUAAAUAAAAGCAAGGAUGUCAUCUCCACUUGGACAUUCCGAUCAAUCAUUAGCAUAUUGAAAGUAUUUUUUCCUGAAUGUCCCAUCUGUAAUUCCUCACAACAGUUAAUUUAUCAUUUCUCUUGAGCCAAGAGUCAUCUUCAAAACACAGGGAAGCAAUAUUUCAGAUUACAUUAGGGUGGUUGAGUAAAAUGUGAGUGUUUUCCUUGCCCUAUGCCUCCUUGGCUUUUAAAAUUCACAAGCUAACCUAUCCAUCAGAUUGGACAAUGGAAAUUAAGUGAUUAAAGUAAGAAUACGAUCAAAGGUGAUCUUUCACCACAAAAAAAUUACCCUUACUUUACAGUAAACAUGGGACGGUUGCUUAAACAGAGAUUAAGCCUAUUCCUGGACUAAAAAGCUCUUUCAAUUGAGAAUCUCUAUUGAGAAUGCUGUUUAGUCCUGGACUAGGUUUAAUCUGGAACUGGGAAACCUGCCCUAAAUGAGUUUUAAAAACGGUGGUAUAGUGCAUACUGAAAACUUGUGAGAAUUUGACUAUCUGUGAUAUUAAAACCAUACUGUCUAUGCAACUACAGGUGUAUGAUCUUAAUUUGAUCACUUUUGUUGCUAAGAAUUUUCCUACACUGCUGGAAAUGCAGAUGAGCUUCAUGAUUUACAUAAAUUCCCUGAAAACCAACACUAAUACACAGUUAUAUUAACAAUAUUGCAC
rnacentral:lncRNA from 13 species